UGUGGACACUGACCUAGCUGGUCUCAAAGGCCUCUUUCAAUUUUAACAUUCCCCCAUUCCAUUGACUAACACAGAGAUACUUUUAUUGCAGAAGUGCUUCGGUCAGGCAGUAUCUUUGAAAAUAAUUUGGCCAAUGAAAGCCCUGGCAUUGGAUGAAAGUGCUAGCUGCUGGGAAUGCUACCCCUCCUUUUGGUUCUCUUUCAAGUCCUUCAGGUUCAAACAAUACAGAAGUGUAUAAAGUAAGAAUUGAAAGUCUCUUCGCUGCUCUAAUCUCACUCCUCAGAGGUGAUCACUGUGUGGAAGAUGAUCAAAGUAUGACAUUUCUUCUACCCCAGAGGCUGGCAUUUCUGCAGGCACAAAUGAGCUUGGUUUUCAAGCACUGCUCUUUGAACACAAGGAAUUCCUUUAAUGAUCACGCCGGACUAUAUAGACUUUGGAAUCAGACUCUUUGAAUUCCAGCUCUGCCAUUUACCAACUUUGACACUUUGGACAACGUCUCAUUCUGUCACCCAGGCUGGAGUGCAGUGGCACAAUUAUAGCUCACUGCAGCCUCAAACACCUGGGCUCAAGCAAUCCUUCCACCUCUGCCUCCUGAGUAAUUGGGACUACAGGCAUGUGCCACCACACCCAGCUAAUUUUUAAUUUUUAAUUUUUUUGUAGAGAUGGCGGUCUUGCUAUGUCACCCAGGCUGGUCUUGAACACCUGGCCUCAAGUGAUCCUCCGGCCUUGGUCUCUCAAAGCUCUGGGAUUACAGACAUGAGCCACUGCACCCGGCUCUAUCUCCCCUUCCUAUGUGUGUUAGCUCUAGAACAAGAGAAGCCUUGUUGAGAUUCCUGGCUGCCCACCCCCCAUCACCUCUCUGACUUUGGGCAAGUUGCCUGGCCUCUCUCAGCCUUUAUUUUCUUUUUGUGAAAUGGGGAUAAUAAUAGUACUUGCCUCAUAGGCAAAAUGUUGUGAGAACUAAACGAGAAAAUGCAUGUAAAGCACUUGGCACUUAGUUCUUUUUAUGAUUAUAAUGAUAAUCAGACACAAUAAAUUAUGUCUCACAUCACAUGCUGUUUAGCCUAUUCACUGUUCUAUUUUUCCUGAAGUCAGUUCAGUGUGUAGCAUCCAGAAUUGAACAAAACACCCCCGAUGUGACCUGAUAGUGCAAAGUAAACUAUCAUCUCCUUCAUUCUAGGUAUUAUGUUUCUAUUAAUGCAGUCUAAAGGUAGGAUAUGAGUUGUUUUGUUUAUGUAUCUUUUUUUUUUUUUUUUCAGGGAUGGGGAAUGACUAUCUCCAAUUAAACUUCUCAGUAAAAUCUCUCCUCUUGUGUGUUGUGCUUUAGUAUUUAGUUUUGGAUACUAGUGCAGGAUCUUAAAUUUAUCCCAUUACAUGUGAUUUCUUUAGUGUUAGUUCCUUUUCAAAUCUGUAUAAGCCAUUCAUUCAUUCAUUCAUUCAUUCAUUUUAGAAAGUCAAACAUAUAUUUAUCAUGAGCCAGCACAGUGCCAGUUAUUUGCCAUAUUCUAAGAUUUUAAACAUUCAUUGGCAUUUUAAUUGUGCAUGAUUUCUAUACCUUCAUCUGAAUUGUUGUGUAACAUAUUUGGAUAAUACAGAGCUAAGGGCACAGGCAAAGAAAUAUCUUUAGAAACUUUCCUCUAGGCUCACCAGCACCCUUAGGGCACUGUCAUUUAAAUAUUAUGAAUUAAUCUUGUGUGGUAUCAUUUGGUACAAAUUAUUUUCCAGCUUGACCAGCAAGAAAUCUUGAGACUUUCUCAGAAUUCUUGUUCAAGUCAAGAUUCCCUAUAUCUUUCUAGUCACCUAACUCAAUAUUCCUAUCAAAAUAAGAUGAAUCUGAUGAGAUUUUUUUUAAAAAGUGAAGUUAGGCUGGCUUGUUUCCUAAUGGGCUGAGAGGACAUAUUCCCAUUCCAGAAUUUUGAAGAAUCUAAGUGCACACAACACAGUGCCUAAAGCAUGUCAGCUGUCUGUUUCGGAUGCUCGUCCUACCACGUGUAGCAUGGCGAAGACAGGAGUCAGAGGUUGGGAAGUUUAGCUAGGUGAAAAAGUCUGCCCUAGGGCAUGCCCUUCCCACUACUGGAGAGCAGUUGCUUUACAUUUUAUUUUACCUAGCUUUUUGUAAAUAUUUCUCCCUUUCUGGGUUACUUGUGAUCAAGGGGCAUGGACUUACUCAUCUCUUAUAAUUCCAAUCAGUGCAUGACACAUCAUAGCUGAUCCUCAAUUAUGUUUUAAGUUAAUGUACUCAAGGUUUAUUUGUCAAUUGAAUGCCUAACCUAUUACAAUUAAGGAGAGAGAAUACUAUCCCCUUUCAGUCCAGGUGUAUGGCAAAUGGAGAUGUCUGUAGGUAUUAGGACAUCCCUAGAAACUUUCAGAAAGGCAUUGGAGGAAUGCCUCCUUAAACAGUAUGAAACUCCAGUGAUUAGCAAUGGAGUCUAAUGAAUGAGAAGCAGUAUAAUGGCUUUCUCAAAAUAUUGGGAAAUUCAUGAUCUUUUUCUCUCCUUUAUCAUUCCUAGGGUUUUGGAAAUCUGGAUUGUAGCAGGGCAUUGUAAGUUAAAAAAUCAUCUUCCCAUUCUGUUCUUUGCAAAGAUAUUUCUGUUCCUUAAAUUUGUUGAGGGUAAGAGAUUGCAGAUUGCUUCUGUGGACUUCUUGAAGGUAAGUAUUAUUUCUUGAUAUUUGUAUCUCCAGUGUCUGGCACAAUGCUUGGGGGUGAGGAAGAACUCAAUAAAUGUUUGUUGGAUGAAUAAGUAAUAUUUGUGAAAGUGUUUUGUAGACUAUGAAACUGCACAAACGAAAGAUCACAAGGAUGAUUGCUUAUGAAGCCCAGAAAUUGAAGUGGAACUCCUUUCUUAAUGUAACACACACAUACAUAUUACACACAUUUUUUUCCUUGAAUAGUGGCUGCAUUUUUUUUAAUGGAACACUGGGCUACUUUUAAAUAUUGAAAUCAAAAUGUACAUGCCCACUUUUUAUUAGCAGUUGCUCCAUUUGCUCCUCCAGCUUUGGCUGGAAAACAUCUAUUUGUAUACUUAGUAUCUCUGUCCUUGGUUACCCCCAUCCCUGCCUUCUCACCCAUCUUUAGUCUGCCUUAUGGUCUUGCAUAGAUUUUCAACUGUUAGACUGUCAGGCUUGCAAGGAUGCAUUUUAAGAAAUCAGUUUCUUUGAAAGCACUUGAACCAAAAGUCAAAUGGCAUGAUGUAAACCAAUAGUCUUUCAAUGAAGAUAUGAAAACCCUCAAUAAUUACAAAUAAGGAAUCUAACCUAUUGACACCAAUUUGAUUACACUGUAUUGAUUUCUACAAAAAUAUUAUGAGAGAGCAGGCUACUUAUACUCUACUGAUCAGAUUACAAGUAUACUUAGUAAAGACAGAAAUAGUAUAGCCAUAAAAGAGUUUACCUUAAAAUGUCACCUGAUGUUAGUUGUCCCUCACUGAUUCAAGUAAUUUCCUUUAUUGAGGUGGAUCUGCCUGUUGGUGGAGAACCCUAGACUGCAUGCAGCCAUGCACAUGAUCUGGAGACACAGCAGAGACAAGGUCUUUGUCUGUUGCUCAGGAUGGAGUGUAGUGGUGCCAUAGCACACUGUAAUCUUGAAUUUCUGGACUACUGGCAUACACCACCAUGCUUAGGUUCGGGCCACAACAUCCGUGACUUUACCGGUUUUGGUCUCUUCCUUGUAACUUUCGGCUCCAGGAUGCUGCGCAGCUCCUCUCUGCACUAUCUAUCAGAACGUUGCUCUGCGUGCUUGAAAGUUUCGCCAAACAGAAGUACACAAAAACAAACAGAGGCGAAACACAAAUCCCCUCAGCCCUGGAGGAAAAGGCCUUGAAGCUCUUCCAGUGCAGAGGCCACGCAGAGGACAUGCUCCUACCUGUGCACAUCGGCCACGCCUGGGGUGCCUCCUGGAGUCCAGGCUGCUGGCGAUGGAAUCCAUCAUGUUGCUGAUGUCACUGUAAGUCGCAGCCCGCAGGCUGAGCUAUGGGGCAGUUUGAGGGGCCAGAAGUUUUCUCCUGGAUGUCAUCUUCAGCAUACCCAGGAACCAGAGAAAAUGUAAUUCUUCCCAUGCCCAUCUCACUCCUGCAGACUGGGGUCCCUCUUCAGUUUCUUUUUUUUUUUUUAAUCAUAAGCACAUAGGCUCUGGGACAUCAUGGAACCCAGAAGCAUGCUGAAAGGUGAAGCACAAGUCUAAAGUCUUGUUAGUUAUGAAAUCCAGCUCUCCUGGAUUAGGCAAGGGGAAAACCACAUAUUUAAGAUAUACUAGGGCA
rnacentral:lncRNA from 10 species